GGCAGGUGCUACCACGCAGGGCUCAGAGCUGCGAGUACCCUGCCACCAGGGGUGGAGGACACAUGCACGUCCAGCAGUCUGAACACAGGCAAUCCCAGCCCCCAGGCCACGCUGAAGUCCUCACCCCAAGGUGACAGUGACAGGAGGUGGGGACUCUGGGAGGUCAUCGGGUUUGGGUGAAGUCAUGAGGAAGGGGCCCCAUGGAUGGAAUUUUCGUCCUCCUAAGUGGACAGAGGGAACAGAAGUCCCUCUCUGUGCCAUGUGAGGAGCAGAAAACAAGAAGCCUGCUGUCCGAGGAGCAGGAGGCCCUCCCGGGGACCCCCAUCUCGGCUUCCUGCCUAUUGCCUGAGCUGCGCAUCUGGUCUGUGUCACAGUGACACUCGACGUCUCGUGCAGUUGUUAUCGACUGCAGGGGUCCAUCAGGUCACUGUCACAGACAGCAAGGUCACUAUCACAUAGAGCGACCUCACUUCCGGAAGAGGACAGCACAGAAAAUGAGGGUCACGGCUCCAAACUGCAGCGCGAGCAGCACCUGGCCUGACACCUGUGUGGCGUGGCGAGCCUUCAGUCUCAGCACCCGUGGGGCAUGAAGUGCUGGCACUCUGCGUGGGCACAAGGGCUCUACCCUCUCAGGAGCGGGUCCCCUUCCAGAGGUGGCUGACCCAGGACCCUUGGAGGCCAUCUGCGGGCCCAGCCUGCUUCCCAGGAAGGGCAGCUCAGGUUUGGACUGGCACAAAGUCAAGGACGACCAGGAACCGUGGCUUCCUACACAGGCACCGUUGAUUCUACGUUAGGAAAUGCUCCAAAUCCUGGACAGAUACACCAGCACGUGGCAGUUAGGGUUUGGGUUCAGCCCGGCAGGCUGCAGGGGUGAGAACACCCAACCCAGCCCUGCGGGAGCAGCCAUGGCCAGGGUGCCCUGGGAGGACGGUCACAUCCUCACCAAGGAGAUGGUCCUACAAGGCUGGGGAACCAGAC